AAUCAACGCUGGCGGCGUGCCUCAGACAUGCAAGUCGAACGAUUAAGACUUCCUUCGGGAAGUGCAUAAAGUGGCGCACGGGUGAGUAACACGUAAGUAAUCUACCCUCGAGUGGGGAAUAACGUUCGGAAACGAACGCUAAUACCGCAUAAUGCAGCGGCAUCGCAAGAUGACAGUUGUUAAAGGAGUAAUUCGCUUGAGGAGGAGCUUGCGGCAGAUUAGCUAGUUGGUAAGGUAACGGCUUACCAAGGCUACGAUCUGUAUCCGGUCUAAGAGGACGGUCGGACACACUGACACUGAAUAACGGGUCAGACUCCUACGGGAGGCAGCAGUGGGGAAUCUUAGACAAUGGGGGAAACCCUGAUCUAGCCAUGCCGCGUGAUCGAUGAAGGCCUUAGGGUUGUAAAGAUCUUUCAGUGGGGAAGAUAAUGACUGUACCCACAGAAGAAGCCCCGGCUAACUUCGUGCCAGCCGCCGCAGUAAAAC
rnacentral:rRNA from 1 species